UACGUAGGUGGCAAGCGUUGUCCGGAUUUACUGGGCGUAAAGAGCGCGCAGGCGGUCGACCAAGUCGCGUGUGAAAGCCCCCGGCUCAACUGGGGAGGGUCACGCGAUACUGAUCGACUCGAAGGCAGGAGAGGGUAGUGGAAUUCCCGGUGUAGUGGUGAAAUGCGUAGAUAUCGGGAGGAACACCAGUGGCGAAGGCGGCUACCUGGCACAUAACUGACGCUGAGACGCGAAAGCGUGGGGAGCGAACCGG
rnacentral:rRNA from 1 species